rnacentral:rRNA from 1 species
GCGACUUAUAGUUAGAGGCAGGUUAAGGUAGUGAAUACUGAAGCCACAGUGAAAGCGAGCCUGAAUAGGGCGUUUGUCACUAGUUAUAGACCCGAACCCGGAUGAUCUAACCAUGGUCAGGUUGAAGCUUAGGUAAUACUAAGUGGAGGACCGAACCGACUGAUGUUGAAAAAUCAGCGGAUGAAUUGUGGUUAGGGGUGAAAUGCCAAUCGAAUCCGGAGCUAGCUGGUUCUCCCCGAAAUGCGUUUAGGCGCAGCGGUAAAUGUUAUAAUUUAGGGGUAAAGCACUGUUACGUAUGCGGGCUGGUAAUUCGGUACCAAAUCGUUGCAAACUAAGAAUACUAAAUGUAUAGUUUACCAGUAAGACUGUGGGGGAUAAGCUCCAUUGUCAAGAGGGAAACAGCCCAGAGCACCAGUUAAGGCCCUUAAAUAAUUACUAAGUGGUAAAGGAGGUGGGGGUGCAUAGACAAUCAGGAGGUUUGCUUAGAAGCAGCAAUCCUUUAAAGAGUGCGUAAUAGCUCACUGAUCGAGUAAACCUGCGCCGAAAAUGUAUGGGACUAAGUAAUUUGCCGAAACUGUGCGAUAUAUAUUUAUAUAUCGGUAGGGGAGCGUUCUGUUGUAGGUCGAAGUAUUAGCGUAAGCGGGUAUGGACGAAGCAGAAGUGAGAAUGUCGGCUUGAGUAACGAAAAUAUAGGUGAGAAUCCUAUACCCCGAAAACCUAAGGUUUCCUCCGGAAGGCUCGUCCGCGGAGGGUAAGUCAGGACCUAAGGCGAGGCUGAAAAGCGUAGUCGAUGGACAACGGGUUAAUAUUCCCGUACCGUUUUUUAUUGAUAUCGAGGGACGGAGAAGGCUAAGCUAGCCGGAUAUUGGUUUUACCGGUUUAAACGUUCGAGAUGUUGAGAAGCGGAGAAAACGCUUUGAGUUAAGACGUGAAUACGAGAUGCUAAGGCGUCGAAGUAGUGUAUGUCAUACUUCCAAGAAAAGCUUGCACUGUCAUAAAUAAAAAAUGCCUGUACCAUAACCGACACAGGUGGGUAAGUAGAGUAUACUAAGGGGCGCGAGAUAACUCUCUCUAAGGAACUCGGCAAAAUGACUCCGUAACUUCGGGAGAAGGAGUGCCUUAUUCUUAAGGUUGCAAUAACAAGAUCCAAGCAACUGUUUAUCAAAAACACAGGUCUCCGCUAAGUCGUAAGACGAUGUAUGGGGGCUGACGCCUGCCCAGUGCCAGAAGGUUAAAGAAGUCGGUUAGCAAUCGCGAAGCUGGUAACUGAAGCCCUGGUGAACGGCGGCCGUAACUAUAACGGUCCUAAGGUAGCGAAAUUCCUUGUCGGGUAAGUUCCGACCCGCACGAAAGGCGUAAUGAUUUGGAUGCUGUCUCGGAGAGAGGCUCGGUGAAAUAGACUUGUCUGUGAAGAUGCGGACUACCUGCACCAGGACAGAAAGACCCUAUGAAGCUUUACUGUAACUUGAAAUUGAAAUUGGACUUUAUUCGCGCAGUAUAGGUGGGAGGCGUUGAUUAUAAUCUUGCGGGAUUAUUGGAGCCAUCAGUGAGAUACCACUCUUGUAAUGUUAGAUUUCUAACUUUGAAUCAUUAUCUGGUCAAAGGACAAUUUCAGGCGGGCAGUUUGACUGGGGCGGUCGCCUCCUAAAUGGUAACGGAGGCGUACAAAGGUUUCCUCUGAACGGUUAGAAAUCGUAUCUAGAGUGUAAAGGCAUAAGGAAGCUUGACUGUGAGACCUACAAGUCGAGCAGGGACGAAAGUCGGUCUUAGUGAUCUGACGGUACUGAGUGGAAAGGCCGUCACUCAACGGAUAAAAGUUACUCUAGGGAUAACAGGCUGAUCUCCCCCAAGAGUUCACAUCGACGGGGAGGUUUGGCACCUCGAUGUCGGCUCGUCACAUCCUGGGGCUGGAGAAGGUCCCAAGGGUUGGGCUGUUCGCCCAUUAAAGUGGCACGCGAGCUGGGUUCAGAACGUCGUGAGACAGUUCGGUCCCUAUCUGUGAUGGGCGUAGGAAGU